UGGGGAAUAUUGGACAAUGGGCGAAAGCCUGAUCCAGCCAUGCCGCGUGUGUGAAGAAGGUCUUCGGAUUGUAAAGCACUUUAAGUUGGGAGGAAGGGCAGUAAGCGAAUACCUUGCUGUUUUGACGUUACCGACAGAAUAAGCACCGGCUAACUCUGUGCCAGCAGCCGCGGUAAUACAGAGGGUGCAAGCGUUAAUCGGAAUUACUGGGCGUAAAGCGCGCGUAGGUGGUUCGUUAAGUUGAAUGUGAAAGCCCCGGGCUCAACCUGGGAACUGCAUCCAAAACUGGCGAGCUAGAGUAGGGCAGAGGGUGGUGGUAUUUCCUGUGUAGCGGUGAAAUGCGUAGAUAUAGGAAGUAACACCAGUGGCGAAGGCGACCACCUGGGCUCAUACUGACACUGAGGUGCGAAAGCGUGGGGAGCAAACAGG
rnacentral:rRNA from 1 species